AAGGUUGCUUUGUCUUGACCUGUAAGCACUGCUCUCUAAAUAAAUGACUGCAGCGUCAAACAGCACAUUCUCAAUAAAGAAUCCUGCUGAAGAUACACCCGAGUCUCCUGGUCUAAGAAAGUUUUGUCUCCUCCCUCAUCUCUUCUUAAACUGUGAAACUCAGGAAGUGUCUGAUUUAGUGCACACAGCACUGUUAAAACAGUCUAUUAAUGUGUCAGUAUGGGGUCCAGUGCACUGCCUCUCAUACUCUUGUUGACGUCCUUCAUCCAGUCUGGAUUCACUCAAGGUACUGUGCAUUUGAUUUUCUUUAAUGAUCAAAUGUGAAUUGUGUUGUAGUACUUUAUUUGUCUACAUCAGAAUACAACAUUUGUCUCUUUGAUGUGUUUUAUCCAUAUUUUGCUGUCAUACAUCUUCACACAGAAUCAUCUGUCUGUGUAGUUCAUCAUUAUGUUAAAACACUGUUAUUGCUGCAGUUCAUGUUAUUUAUUCAAUUAAUCA